ensembl:snoRNA
AGCACGUAUGUGUGUCUUUGUGUGAACAAAGACUUAUGGACAACUGCAGAAAACAAAUCAUCUUUUGAUACAUAGAACUUAUUGUUCAGGUUGAGUACUGAUACAUAAAAGGAAUAUCACG